rnacentral:rRNA from 1 species
UACGGGGGGGCAAGCGUUGUUCGGAAUUACUGGGCGUAAAGGGCUCGUAGGCGGCCAACUAAGUCGGACGUGAAAUCCCCAGGCUCAACCUGGGAACUGCGUCCGAUACUGGAUGGCUUGAAUCCGGGAGAGGGAUGCAGAAUUCCAGGUGUAGCGGUGAAAUGCGUUGAUAUCCAGCGGAACUCCGGUGGCGAAGGCGAGGUGCUGGACCCUUUCUGACGCUGAUGCGCGAAAGCCAGGGAGCAAACGGG